AUUAAACGCUGGCGGCAUGCCUUACACAUGCAAGUCGAACGGCAGCACGGGGGCGAACCCUGGUGGCGAGUGGCGAACGGUGAGUAAAGCAUCGGAACGUGCCCUGGAGUGGGGAUAACGGUAGCGAAAGUUACGCUAAUACCGCAUAUUCUGUGAGCAGGAAAGCAGGGGAUCGCAAGACCUUGCGCUCUGGGAGCGGCCGAUGUCGGAUUAGCUAGUUGGUGGGGUAAAGGCCUACCAAGGCGACGAUCCGUAGCGGGUCUGAGAGGAUGAUCCGCCACACUGGGACUGAGACACGGCCCAGACUCCUACGGGAGGCAGCAGUGGGGAAUUUUUGGAUAAUGGGCGAAAGCCUGAUCCAGCCAUGCCGCGUGAGUGAAGAAGGCCUUGG
rnacentral:rRNA from 1 species